ACAGCCCAUCGUAGGCAUCUACAAUGUUCAGUCAGUAUAGAGAACUGAACAUGGGUUUUAAAAGAGUUCUGCUCUUAACCAUGCCAUUGUUUAUUACUAGUGUGAAAAACUGAGUAUGGUUUAUCUACAAGACCCACUUUUUUAAAACCACGUUCAACUGUAACCCGAAUCAGAGCAAUUAUCCUUCGAAGCGUCUGAGCUUGCUGAGAUAAGAAACGGUGAUAAUCACUACUUAGUCGUGGUUACUACUCGAAUAUCCCAUUCAGAUCAACGACACGCUCUGGUAUUUUACCAAAACCGUCUCGCACAACCGGAAUCGGAACAAAGGUUAGCAGCACUCCAGCCGAAAAUUCUAUCCUUAAACCUACACCGCGACAUAGAACCCAUUCCCUACACAAAAAUCCUGAAACAAUGGCCUCAACCACCGGCUCUCAACUCGUCAACCACACUCUUCCCACUUCCUCCAGCUCUGCUACGUCGACCAUUACCAAGCCCGUCAAGGGAACCACCAAAUCCUGCUUUAGUUGCGGCUGCGGUGAUGAAGAUUGUGAUUGCUUCGUCUGUAUCGUUAUGUGAAAACGCAUUACGGAUAUGAUUGAAUGUGAUGAACGGGCUUCAAAAUAUUGGCUCCCUCUCUCGGCUUGGACAUUUUCCGAUUCAGAAAAGUCUGGUUGUGGGUGUCACCGAGAAAAAUGGACUUAAAACUACCCCCAAGUUUGAGGGGAGAGGUUGAUAUUUUUUGGGAGGUUCCAUGUGUCAUUGAGUGUCAAACUAUUUUGGAUUUUUAAGGUCGUCGAAUUUGUUUCAUUUAAGCAAGCGAAAUUGUUUGAACAGAGGAUGCUGGAAGCAGCAGGAUAUGAUCUCACCCUAUUUACCAUAAGACACCAUACAGAUUACCAAUUUAUGUUUUGAUGCACCCAGAUAUGAUCCCCAACUAUUUAACAGAUCGCACCUUAAACUUAGAGGCAAAAUGCUUGGAUAUGCAAGAAAUCAAUAAGAAAAUCGAGCAGGAAGGGAGAACAAAAGAACAAUCUAUGAGGAUGAAGGCGAAACUUAUGAACCAGCAACACCAGCGAAGAGCACAAAUGCCUGCAAAGCCCUCUGGCGAUCAGUCUCCUUCUUCAGCAUCAGCAGA
rnacentral:sRNA from 1 species